rnacentral:rRNA from 1 species
UACGAAGGGGGCUAGCGUUGCUCGGAAUCACUGGGCGUAAAGGGUGCGUAGGCGGGUUUUUAAGUCAGAGGUGAAAUCCUGGAGCUCAACUCCAGAACUGCCUUUGAUACUGAGAGUCUUGAGUACGGGAGAGGUGAGUGGAACUGCGAGUGUAGAGGUGAAAUUCGUAGAUAUUCGCAAGAACACCAGUGGCGAAGGCGGCUCACUGGCCCGUUACUGACGCUGAGGCACGAAAGUCAGGGGAGCAAACGGG